rnacentral:rRNA from 1 species
UACGUAGGGGGCGAGCGUUGUCCGGAAUUACUGGGCGUAAAGCGCACGUAGGCGGCUUUCUAAGUCGGGGGUGAAAUCCUGGAGCUCAACUCCAGAACUGCCUUCGAUACUGGAGAGCUCGAGUCCGGGAGAGGUGAGUGGAACUGCGAGUGUAGAGGUGAAAUUCGUAGAUAUUCGCAAGAACACCAGUGGCGAAGGCGGCUCACUGGCCCGGUACUGACGCUGAGGUGCGAAAGCGUGGGGAGCAAACAGG